rnacentral:ncRNA from 1 species
CUGACUUUCGGCGAUGGAGUUCGCCGGCUCCGGUUUUCAGGCUGGAGCGAACUGUUCGGAACGCUGAUGACUCCUGACCAGUA